CUGACUCCGCCCGCUCGCCACCGGGCAUCUUACGGCUCUCAGGGCGGUGCUCAGGGUCACAUCUCCUCCUGGAACCAGCGAGGGGGCGGAGGAUGGCCGGGGGCGGGGUCCGCUGCCCUUGGGGUCGGGGUCGAAAAGUCCAGGGCGGAAAGGAAGACUGGAAUGCCCGCCAGGCAGGCUGACCAGAUGCGGGAUUGGGGGGUGGGGGGUGGGGUCCCUUCCCUGGGGAGAAGCGCAUCCUUUCUGGUCUUUAUUUCAUGACUUCAUACUUUUCUUACAGUGGUGGGGGGCGGGGGGAAGCAGGAGGUGGGGGGGGUGAGAUUAGUGCACGUUUGUUAAAAAUCUAUUGUGUGAGAAGGACUUUUUUUUCCCCCUCCUCUCCAAAAUAAGAGAUGAUUAUUUUUAAGUCUGCAGUGUGUGUGUCUGGGGUUCGCAGCCGGGUGGGUCAGGGCCAGCCCUGGUCCCUCACCCCUCUGGGCCCGGAGGCUGUCCCCAGGGAGCCACGGGCACCCCCAGACACCCGCCAUCUCCACGCCGUCCCCAUCUUCACCCUGAGUGCGGAUUAAGACAGAGGAGAUCACAGACACAAGGUUCAAGACGCCUCUUCCGUUUCAGAUUUCCACUGCAAACGGAAGUCCUUGUCGAUCUGCGCGUGCCUUCCGUUACAAAAGGGAAUUAGCCGAUACAAACUGGUGAGUCACAUUCAUACAUUGGAUUUUUUUUUUCUUUAACUUUCUCGACGGUGGUGUAUUGGUAAGAAAAAUAGCCUCUCUCAGGAUCUAGCCCAAAAGGCUACACAUCAAUCAGUUUGGGAAGUCACCAAAAAAAGGGAGUGAAAGAAAGGAAAAGGCAACUGGAGGCUGGGAUGUUGUCGUUGUUGCUGUUGUAGGUUUUGUUUUUUUAAAUAAACAUCAUCUUUUAUGUGUAAUCAAAUUCCCAUAUUUUUCCCUAUAAAGAAUCUGCUUUAGUUUUUCCAUAAGGCAUUUUUUUUUUGUCUCUUCCUAUUUAAAUUUUCUUAGAGUUAAAACCAUAAAUAAGAGGAUGUAAACCACUAGCAUGACACGUGCCAAUAUCUUAAUUGAGCCAGACCUGGUAAAUUCUAUCAAAACUAGACAGUUAAAUAAGAACCACGUUAUAAAAAUAUUAGCCAAAAAAAGACUAUUAGAUAAUUCUGCAAACUCAAAUAUGAAACUGUACUAAACAAAAUAUGUGCAAACGUAUACAAGCAUAGAGCCACGUGGCGGGGUUAUGCUCAGAUUAGUUUAAAGCUUGCUCUAGUGGAUUUAAUUCGAGUUGUUCCACGGUGGUGGUGGUUACUUUGAACUCACACACGAGUCAAAGGAAAAUAAAAUAUGCACAACCACGUCCCCAAAAGGUGAGCGUCUCAUGGAGCUGGUGCUUCAUUCCGUCCACACCUGGGACUGCCUGGGUCCUGCUAGGGCUGGAGGUCAGGGGCAAAGACACGGUGGCUGUCCCAAGGCCCGGGCCAGGCAGCGUCCCAGAGGCCCUCGGGCUG
rnacentral:lncRNA from 1 species